GACGAACGCUGGCGGCGUGCCUAAUACAUGCAAGUCGAACGCUUCUUUCCUCCCGAGUGCUUGCACUCAAUUGGAAAGAGGAGUGGCGGACGGGUGAGUAACACGUGGGUAACCUACCCAUCAGAGGGGGAUAACACUUGGAAACAGGUGCUAAUACUGCAUAACAGUUUAUGCCGCAUGGCAUAAGAGUGAAAGGCGCUUUCGGGUGUCGCUGAUGGAUGGACCCGCGGUGCAUUAGCUAGUUGGUGAGGUAACGGCUCACCAAGGCCACGAUGCAUGGCCGACCUGAGAGGGUGAUCGGCCACACUGGGACUGAGACACGGCCCAGACUCCUACGGGAGGCAGCAGUAGGGAAUCUUCGGCAAUGGACGAAAGUCUGACCGAGCAACGCCGCGUGAGUGAAGAAGGUUUUCGGAUCGUAAAACUCUGUUGUUAGAGAAGAACAGGGACGUUAGUAACUGAACGUCCCCUGACGGUAUCUAACCAGAAAGCCACGGCUAACUACGUGCCAGCAGCCGCGGUAAUACGUAGGUGGCGAGCGUUAUCCGGAAUUAUUGGGCGUAAAGGGUGCGUAGGCGGCCUGUUAAGUAAGUGGUUAAAUUGUUGGGCUCAACCCAAUCCAGCCACUUAAACUGGCAGGCUAGAGUAUUGGAGAGGCAAGUGGAAUUCCAUGUGUAGCGGUAAAAUGCGUAGAUAUAUGGAGGAACACCAGUGGCGAAGGCGGCUUGCUAGCCAAAGACUGACGCUCAUGCACGAAAGCGUGGGGAGCAAAUAGG
rnacentral:rRNA from 1 species